rnacentral:rRNA from 1 species
GUGGGGAAUAUUGGACAAUGGGGGGAACCCUGAUCCAGCCAUGCCGCGUGUGUGAAGAAGGCCUUUUGGUUGUAAAGCACUUUAAGCGAGGAGGAGGCUACCGAGAUUAAUACUCUUGGAUAGUGGACGUUACUCGCAGAAUAAGCACCGGCUAACUCUGUGCCAGCAGCCGCGGUAAUACAGAGGGUGCAAGCGUUAAUCGGAUUUACUGGGCGUCAAGCGCGCGUAGGUGGCCAAUUAAGUCAAAUGUGAAAUCCCCGAGCUUAACUUGGGAAUUGCAUUCGAUACUGGUUGGCUAGAGUAUGGGAGAGGAUGGUAGAAUUCCAGGUGUAGCGGUGAAAUGCGUAGAGAUCUGGAGGAAUACCGAUGGCGAAGGCAGCCAUCUGGCCUAAUACUGACACUGAGGUGCGAAAGCAUGGGGAGCAAACAGGAUUAGAAACCCCGGUAGUCC